GCGUGUGUGUAGAGUGAGGUGAUUGUGGUGUGGUUUUGUGUUAAUAUGUUGGUUUCAGUCAUGUUGUGUUUGUGGUGUUAUGUAAUGUAUGUGUGUCUAGGUGCUGUAGAGAGUGUGUCUAUAGGGGACAUAGUGUGUAUAGGGGAUGUAGCAAAUGUGUGCAUACGGGCUGUAAAGUGUGUGUGUUUAGGGAAUGUAGUAUGGGUUUGCUUACAAGGAAUUUGGUGUGUGCAUGGGGAUUCAGAGUGUGUAUGUCAGAAAUGUAGUGUAUGUGUGUAGGUUGUACAGUAUGUGUGUGUAGGGGAUCCAUUGUCUGUUUGAAGGACCCAGGCUGUGUAUAGUAGAUCUAGUGUGUGUGUGUGUAGAAGAUUUAGAGUGUAUGUAGGGAUCUAGCGUGUGUAUAUGUGUAGAUGAUCCAGAGUUGGGUAAGGGAUCUAGUGUGUCUGGAAUAUAAUGUGUUUAGGGGUGCAGUAGGUGUGUGAGGCGUUCUGUAGUAUAU